CCUACGGGAGGCAGCAGUGAGGAAUAUUGGUCAAUGGCCGGAAGGCUGAACCAGCCAAGUCGCGUGAGGGAAGACGGCCCUACGGGUUGUAAACCUCUUUUGUCAGGGAGCAAGGUGCAGGUCGGGACCUGCUGUGAGAGUACCUGAAGAAAAAGCAUCGGCUAACUCCGUGCCAGCAGCCGCGGUAAUACGGAGGAUGCGAGCGUUAUCCGGAUUUAUUGGGUUUAAAGGGUGCGGAGGCGGGGGGACAAGUUAGCGGUGAAAUCGCCGGGCUCAACUCGGGCACCGCCUUUGAAACUGUGUCCCUUGAGUGCGCGAAGGGUAGGCGGAAUGCGUGGUGUAGCGGUGAAAUGCAUAGAUAUCACGCAGAACGCCGAUCGCGAAGGCAGCCUACCGGCGCGCAACUGACGCUGAGGCACGAAAGCGUGGGUAGCGAACAGGAUUAGAUACCCUGGUAGUC
rnacentral:rRNA from 1 species